rnacentral:lncRNA from 1 species
CAUUGUUCAUUUAUCACACUCAACAUGAAUAUUUUUGUAUCUGAGACUUGGACUCAGGGGAGUUACAUCAUGCAAUCAUGGAGCCUUUCUUUGAAAAGAGCUUUUUACAUUAAAAAACAAACAAUAACAACAGCAGCAUUCUUCUAACAGAUCACAGCUGAAGCGAAGCAGUUGUAUUUCCAGGAUUAGAAACUGGUUAAUAGAAUUAGUGGAUGUCUGAGGCAUCAAGCUGUGUCUGAUAAUGAGAUGAGUUAUAAAUAGUGUCAUUAAUUCACAUGUCCUUCUAACACAUGCCACUCCAGUUAAUGUACAAAUCCCAAAUCCCUCAAUGCAAAAUACACUGACCUCCUCAUUAAAGUAUCUAAUGGCAUGAAGCCUGGUUUGCAUGUAUCCACUGUCUAGUGCUCUGGAUCAGGAAUAAUUACAGGGCAGCAUUUCUGUUCCUGAGCUAGGAGGCAGAAGUAUCUAUGUCACCAGAAAAUAAGACUUUCCUCAUGUCUCAUGCUGCCUUUUCUAAAUGUUGGGGUGUGUUAUGGGGCAGCACAUCCCACUGUGCCCUGCGAGGAGAGGCUGCCCUGGCGUCAGUGUUGGGGCGCUCCAGCAUCCUCUGAAACCUCUGUCUGUCUCACAGCAUCCUUUGACAUCUUGCUGUUGGGCCCCUAAAGGAUUUAAGUCUUCAGAGUGCACAUAUUCAGGCUUUAUUCUGAGCCUUUCAGGGAAGCAAAGAAGACACUGA